CAGUGUUAAGAAAUCAGGUGCAGUCAGAUGUAUAACUUUGUGUUUGAACAUGAUAUAAAGAUUGUGGGUUUACUUGCAGUGACAGAAGGUUUUGGUUUUACAGGUACUUGCCUCCAGAGUGUUUUGUAGUUGGCAAAGAGCCACCAAAGAUUUCAAACAAGGUUGAUGUAUGGUCAGUUGGAGUAAUCUUUUUCCAGUGUCUUUAUGGAAGAAAGCCAUUUGGUCAUAAUCAAUCACAACAAGAUAUCCUACAAGAAAACACAAUAUUAAAAGCCACAGAAGUCCAGUUCCCAGUUAAACCUGUUGUAAGCAAUGAAGCCAAGGCCUUUAUCAGACGCUGUUUAGCAUACCGCAAAGAAGAUCGAUUUGAUGUCCACCAGCUGGCUAAUGAUCCUUAUCUUCUCCCUCACAUGAGAAGAUCAAAUUCUUCAGGAAACUUACAUAUGACUGGGCUGGCAGCAUCCCCUACGCCACCUACUUCAAGCAUUAUUUCGUACUGAAAUUUCUCCAAGUGAAGACUGGCAUGAUAUAUUUAUAGUUUCCAGAUGCAGACUAGUUUGUGAGCAUUUGAGUGUUUUUACACAGGACAACUUUGAUUACUGUGUUUUCAGACUGAAGUCCUCCUGCUUAGUGUCCAUUUGUUUGAUGGGAAUGGAUCAUGGACUGUGAAUAAAUAUACCCUUUUGACUGUAACCUUUAAACAUUGAAGAAUGAUACUGCUUGUUGCACACAAAUCGAUGUGCUGUGUUUAAGAGUAAAGAAAAGGUUUUGGGGUUUUUUGGGGAACACUGUAAAUAAUCUUUUUAAUACUUAUAAAGUACAUUUGGUUGAUACUGGAGAGUGCUAACAUGAAGGGUAGUUUUUCAUUAUUUAAAUAAGAAAAGUAAUGGACAAAUUUGAACACACAGGAAAGGUUCAGUGUCUGGACAAAAAAAAACAACAACAAAAAACCUACUUCCCAAGUGGUUGAAACCAAAGUAAGAAGUGAGUGUCACAGUUGUAUUCUGUAUAAAGCUUUUCUGAAAAAGUUAUAAUCUUUUGUUUGGCUAUUUGGUCUUAUUAAAGGCUGUACCUCAAAACCCAUGUGUCCUCGUUUCACUGAGAUUUGAAGGGUGAUGCAUAGUUUCUGGUACAUUAUCCCUCAAAUAGCUAAUUUUGAACCCAUCUACAUUCUUUAAAUUUAUUAUACUUGUCACAAGUUUUGACAAUGCUGCCACUUUCCAGGCCUUUGAGAAAAGUAAAUGAUAACCUGUCUGCGCUUGGAUAUAUGCUAUGUAUGAUGUUCUAUGCAGGAUAAUGAUGAAUUCCCUUCUAAUGCUAUUGUAAAUUGUUGUACAGAGGUCAUAUUUUUAGUUAUUAAAUUUCAGCCACUUAUUCCUGUACAAAUGUUUAAAGUAUGGCUUUUUCUAAUUGGAUAUUGUAUUUUUUUUUAAGUCUCCUUGAAGGCGCUUUUAAUUGCUGCUAAAUUAUGUUGCUUUUACUUUUGCAGAAGAAUCAAAUGACCUCCUUAAAGUGCAAGUCAGCUGUACGUUAUAGAGAGAUUAAAAGUAGAUGAUUCAUUAACAAUCAAGGCAUGUAAAAGAAAUCUGUGUUGGACAUAUACAGUACAGUUCUUUAAGUCAGUUUCUUGUGCUCUCAACCUGUGGAGCACAUUGAUACUAGAUAUAGAAGUUGUUCAUGGUUAUUUUCUAUUUCUGGAAGUUCCUAUCAACAAGGAAAUGUUUCUUGUGGCUUGUACAGAUAUUUUAAAAUGUGAAACAUUUUCUAACUGCCUUGUAUGGUAGAAAUUUAUUUUUCAGAACUCUCUCUCUUACAUACAUUAUUCCUUUUACUGUCCCAUUCAUGAUGCUGAAUACCUAGAUGUAAUUUUGUCCAUGCUGCAGAAAAAGGAGGCUGUAUUACCACAGGUUUUCAUUUAAUAUUGUACAGUUAAACUGUGGCUCUUGUUUUUGAUGUUGCAAGCCAUUUUGUUUUCAUUGUACAUAAAGAUACAUUAACUGUCUCUUUAAGAUGCUGCUGAAAUUGUAGAGAAUGUAGCCAAAACAGUAAUAAACAAUGACAGUUGAAAUUUCAA